ACGGGUGAGUAACACGUAUCCAACCUGCCGUCUACUCUUGGACAGCCUUCUGAAAGGAAAGAUUAAUACAAGAUGGCAUCAUGAGUCCGCAUGUUCACAUGAUUAAAGGUAUUCCGGUAGACGAUGGGGAUGCGUUCCAUUAGAUAGUAGGCGGGGUAACGGCCCACCUAGUCUUCGAUGGAUAGGGGUUCUGAGAGGGAGGUCCCCCACAUUGGAACUGAGACACGGUCCAA
rnacentral:rRNA from 1 species